rnacentral:rRNA from 1 species
GACGAACGCUGGCGGCGGGCUUAACACAUGCAAGUCGAACGCGUGGCGCACGGGUGAGUAAAACGUGGGUAACCUGCCCUAUUGUGGGGAUAAGCCUUGGAAACGGGUUCUAAUACCGGAUAACGGGGGAGGGGCUCGCGGCCUUUCAGGUUGUUGGUGGGGUGAUGACCUACCAAGGCGGUGACGGGUAGGCGGCCGGAGAGGCUGACCGGCAACAGUGAGACGGUGAUACGGCCCAGGGUAGUCAGGGAGGCAGCAGUGUGGGCUAUUGCACAAUGGGUGAAAGCGUGAUGCAGCGACGACGCGUGGGGGAUGAAGGCUUUCGGGUUGUAAACCUCUGUCGCUAUCGAGCGGGUAGGUGGAGAAGAAGCGCCGGCUAACUACGUGCCAGCAGCCGCGGUAAUAC